CCUAAUAAAAUAAACUCUAAAUAACAUAUUUUUUUCUCCCUGUGAUUGUCACUUUUAUAUAUGGAAAUGUUACCUCCUUGGGUUGUUAUUUCAAGCUUUUUAAUUAAAUUUGCCUCAUGCAUUGGUAAAGUAAACAUGUAACAUAUGCCAUAUUCAAGUUCUAUAAAGAAAUUUUAAUAACAUUCAGACUUUGGCCAGUUGUUAAAUAAUUUUAUAUUAGCAGUGGGAAAUAAAAAGCAUCUUUUCAUUAGUUCUUGCCACUAACCUGGGGAGGAGAAAUAGCCAGGAAAAGUUUAUGUUGAGAAAUACACACAGAUGCAUAUUUUGUAAAGUGCAUGUGUUUUUAUUUUUUUAUGAAAAAAUAAUUAAAGUACCUAAAAAGAACAACAUAAUACUUAAAAGGCACUCAUCACAAUCUGGAUGUGCUGCAAAUUAUCCAUCAAUGGUUAUUAAGUUAUUAACCCUUUGAAAACCCAAGUUGUGAAUUCUGCAAGUAUUUAAACAAAAUUGACACAGUGCACUAAAAUAGGUUUUAAAUCAUAAUCUACAGCUUAUAUAUUAUUAUAUUAAUUAAUACUAUUAUAAUAUAAUGUAUUUAUAAUAUAAUGGUAUAGAGUCACAUAAUUAUAUGGUUUAAUUAUAUAACAUGUAAUAAUAUAUAAUACAUAAUUAAAUAUAAUUAUACAUUAUAGUCUAUAUUUAAGUUUUUACAGGUGUUCUACAUCUGAGACUACAGGAAAAAUAGGUUAAAAUGACUGGUUAUUUUUAUGUAUUCUUAUAUACUGUCCAAUUUAGGGAAUUAGUAUUAGAAUUGUGUUCAUUGUAAAAUAAUUUUCACUCAGUAUAGAUUGAGCUUAAUCUUAUGGAAUGGAGAUUUGGUAAUUACUUUUCUUUAGAAGCAGUCUUUUGCAAUGAACCAUUAUGUUAACUCAUGAUGUCUUUCAACAUAGAAAUAUUUACAUAAUUCCAGAGUUUGGUUAAUGGUAGUUUCAGAUAUAAAAGGGGUCUAACAAUAUCCAAAUGUAUCUGGGUUAUGGAUUUCAGAGAAUAAGAAAGGACAUUUGGGAUGUUAAUGUCCAAUAAAUAUUUGUCUGUAAUCAUUUAGUUCUAAACUUGGAGAGUAAGAUGUUUCAUUGUUAGAGACACUUGUAUGUGAUUUUUUUCCAAUGCUGAGAAAUAUCAGAGGUUUCAGCAGAGCUACAACAAAAGCUGACACAGAGAAAAUUAAAUUUCAGGUAUAUGUCCAGUGAUUUAUUUUAUGAACUAAUUUCUGUAAUAGAGACAUUCAAACCAUUUCAGGGUUCAUCAUGAAACUGACAAAGUAUUUAAGGAAAGCCAAGUCUCACAAGUAAAGGAGACAUGAUGCUCUAGGACUCAUGCAGGUCUAAUUCACAGUUUUCUUUUCAGUGUUACCAAGUUCAAAAUGAAUAAAAAGUUCUCACCAAGGAAACAUUUCUACUUUCAAUAAUUGCUUAACACAUUUUAUGGAUUAAAAUAGAGCCUUAAAAUAGCCCUGUAUAUCUAUCUACUUGUCUGUCUCUCAUCUGUCCCUUGUCUAAUUGAUGGACAGGUUGUAAUACAUUCUUAGUAGAUAUAGAGGACAGCACACACAUCCGGGGUGGUGACACACACCUGUAAUCCCAGCAGCUCUGGAGGCUGAGACAGGAGGAUCUGGAGUUCAAAACCACCUCGGCAACUUAGCGAGACCUUGUCUCUAAAUAAAAUAUAAAAAAGGGCUGGGGAUGUGGUUCAAUGGUUAAGUGUCCCUGGGUUCAAUCCCCAGUACAAAAAAAAAAAAAAAAAGAGAGAGCACACAUGUUCUGAUGUUCACUCGUUGGUAGUGAAAUAUGUGAAGCCUUUUCUGAGUUUCACUGAAGAACUAAUGUUUUAAAACACGCAAACAAAUACUUUAUGUGACUAUUGGAUUUUAGAAAAGUGAUAAUCCAUAAUUCCUUUCCAUCAGCCAAACUGCACAGAAGAUAAAUUGUAAAGUUAUAUGAUGACAUCGCUGUGUGUAUGUAUGCAGAUAUAUAAAUAAAUUCGUUUUUUUUAAAUUUAAGAAUGAUAAGUCUGUAAUUAUAGAACUAUAAUCACAGAAUUAUAAAAAGAAGCAUAAUUUUAUAUAUGUAGUUAUAAAUAGCAUCAGAAUUAGUAGCUAACUUGUUUCUGAUAGGCAAUAGAUUCUUGGAGAUAAAAUUAAGAGAUUUUAAAAAUGAAAAAUUUGAAAACUUAAUUUUCGUAUUUCAUUAACAUGCAUCUUGCAAAUGUAAUUUUCUUUCUUAAAUUGAUUUGCAUUCACUCAUUUCAUCCAUAAUUUGGUUUAUUCUAUAUUUGGCUUAUUACUCAUUUUUUCAUGACAUAAUACAAAGUGUACACUAAAAGAAUUUACAGAAUACAGUUUCAAUUAAGAAUGUUUUAGGCCUUAUGAACAUAUAAAGUGACUUUGAGCAAACUCAGAAAAUAAUGUGAAUACGAGGUACUGAUAAAUUUUCUAGUUCAUCUGAAGGAAAAUGGAUUUUAUACCAAUCUGAAUGUUUCUUAGGCCUGGCUCUGUACAAGGAGAGCAAAGAAUGUUGUGUAAGGCAAUGUGGUGCAUAAACAGAACUUCCUGAUAAAAUUCAGGAUGUCAGGUGUUGCAGGGGAAAUGUGUGUGUGAAAAAUAUUGUUUGUUGUUUAUCUGAAGUUCAAGUUAGACUGGACAUCCUGAAUUUUACCUGCUCCACCUGGCAAUCCUAUGUAGAAGACCAGAUUGGAAAUGGCAUUUUCAGAGUUUACCAUAAAGCCAAACAUGGUUCUAGGCAUGUAAUAAAUGUUGAAAAUGUGUUAGCAAGUAAUAAUAAUAAAAGUGACAGAGAUAAAUAUGAGAUAUUUUGAUAGGUUGACCAAAUAUGAGAAAAGCUCCCCAAUGUGCCUCAUAUAUUGUAUGAUGUGGGGAGUGGUGAAAAAUGACUCCUUAAACAUUAUUGAGAAUAAUACCAGCUCUUGAGGAUGAAUUUCAAGCUAUAUAUGUAUCAUGCAUGGCUUAGGUAUUUGCCAAGAGGAUUAUUCAAAAAAAAAAAUCAAUGAAAAGCAAAAUUUUCUGUGAACAGAUGAAAAUGUGAAUAGCUGUGGAAUCAGGCCAAGCCAAGAUAUUUUAAACUAAGGUGCUUUAAGCUAUUUCCUCAGGAACCUUAAGGAGAAAGUUAAAGAACAUUCUCUAAAAAUGCACUUUAAAGAUUUAUUGCACACAAAUUUUGCUCACGUAGACCUUAUAAUUUUUAAAAAUAAUAUUAAAGAUUGAAAACCUGAACCCGCUGGUGGCUUCUUAGAGUGUACAGAACCGAAAAAGGAUAAAAUGAAAAUCCUCCUUUUCAAGACCAUUGUUUUUUUCCCUCACAUAAGUGGAAGCAGUUUUCAUAAAGAUUAUGUAAUUGCACUAUCUAGUUAAGAGAAUUGCUGGAACUCAACCUUGGCAACCUGACCUGAGGAGGUGCACUCUUUCUAUACCUUGAUAUAUAUGAGGCAGAAGAGACUUUAAUUUCAGGAAUAAUUCAAUAACUGCAAGUUUGUUAAUAAUUACUAUUUGAUGUUUUAGAUCUCCUCUGUUAACACUGCCCACAUAUACUCAUCCAACCACCUGUCAAAAGUUGUGCUGAGGAAUUUACUUCAGGCAAGUUGGUGCCAAUGAGUUAUUCUAUUGUGUUCUUGGAGAUGGGGUGGAAAGUAACAUUUAUUUAAAAUUCCAAGAUAAGGAAGAAUAGAAAUACUAUGGCAUUUUGCUGUGGCUAAACUAAUGAGAAAUUAAAUUUCAUUCAGGUUUUUAUCUUUCUUUUUGCAUCUAUAAUCUGAUGAACAUCAAACCAAUUUUCACUUUCCAUAGUCUCUAAUAUAUAGCUUUGAGAUAGGCUCAUUGUUCCUCACAAUUUAAAAAAAAAUCUUAACUUGGUGUCCUUUCUUGUUAAUUUUUUUUUUCAUUCUUUAUAUGGGAGUGUCCAUUCCUUUUGUCCAUUGCUGGCAGCCUGACUCUUGCUGUUUGUCCCUGAUGAUUUUGCUUUGGCUGCCACGCUGAAGAACAAGGGGAGACUGCAAAGACUAUGUUGCACCAUUUCCAGGUAGUUCCCCUUCCGAGUGGGGCAGAGAACUCAAAGAAGAAAGACCCCUGGCGCUGGAGAGCUCUGACGUGAUGGAGAGGGGACAGCAAAGAUAGAGUCCUCCUGCAGCUUUCCUAGCAAAUGAUGCCUUGUGACCUCUGAAAUAGAAUCUGAGCUUGCCAUGAAAGUCUCUGUAAGAUUAUCUAGUUUACCCCAGUCCCUGCAGAGUGCCCCAACAGUUCCUCAUCAGGGAUGGGACCAUCUUCAGUGAGGGAACAAGUCUUCCUCCCUGUCAGCCUGACCACAUACUGACCAGCAUAUUCCUCCCUGUCAGUCUGGCCACACCCUCUGCUAACGUGCAGAUUUCCUCAUUUACAAUCCUCCUUAGACUGGGGUCCUCACCUCUCCUGUGUUUUUCCCCUUUUGCCAAGACUCAUCACCGUUCCUCGAAGAGAAUUCCUUUGACAGCUGAAGACUGAACAGUCAUGACCUCUGAUUGUUCUUUCCAGAUCAAAUCCUUAUCCAAGAACUCUGGGCGGUAUGGUUUCCAGACCCAUCAACAAUCUGCCUGUUCUUCAAUUUUCUAUGCCUCUUUUUUAAGCGUGGUCCAAGAACUGAAUAUAAAAAUUCAAGACAUUCUCAUCAGUACCUAGUAAAUAUGAUUCUUCUUACCUGUCCCAGAAAUUAUAUCUUUAUUAUAAGAUUACAUUAGAAUUUUAUCAUUCAUAUCAUGAUUUUGACAUCUAUUUUGAUAUUUAAAAAGUCAAAGAAGUUGACUUAAUACAAGCUAUUGAUAAGUCAAAAGUUUGCUAAUUAAGUUCUUUUUUGAUGGAGAUUUGGUUAUCCAUCUUAGCACACUUUAUCAAGUUUCUCUUCACUCACAUAUUGUAUAAAUAUUUUAUUUCUUCUUUCAAGUCACUUGCCGAUCUAUAUUAGAUUGAAUUAGAUUUUUUUUUUUUGGACCCAAAUCCAAAAAGAUAUUAGUUACAUUGAAGAAUACUUUUUCCACUUUGAUUACCAUUGUGUAUUGCUUUCUUGGCCUAUUUUACUUAGAAAUGUCCUUUUUUUCCUUAGUGGGGAAAUUUCUAGAUAAGGAUUAAGACAAUCACAUUCUUUCUACAACAUACGGGAGGAAACUACUUAAGAACAAACAGUAAUUUCAAGCAACAUGUUUUAAGUAGCCUUUAAAAAUAUCAACAGUAUUACAGAUAUUUUGUGGCAAGCAAAAACACUUUUGCUUAGGGGGAAAGCUACAUGGAACUGCAUUUAUUACUUAUUCAUUCAAAUAUUUACUUAGCAUAUACUAUGUGCCAGGUUUAUUUCAUGGGGAGUGAACAAAACAGACUUAAGCUUUAAAGGAGAAAGAGACAAUCUCUAGUCAGGAUCAGAAAAUUAUUUCUGGUAAAACUCAUCACAGGAAUAAAAGUCACAGGUGAAAAACCACAUUCUGUAUUUUGGAAAUGAAGAUUGAAGUCAUUGUCAAAUGAAGCAACAAAGAGCCCUUGUAACAAAGGGCUCUCAUGGAGUAUAUUUUUUUAAGACCAAACACCAAGUUUUGUACAAGUUUGCUGUUUAGAUGGUUUUCUAUUCCUAAACUUUCUUUCCUAUUACCUGGUCACAAGCAUGUACUUGCAAAUACCUAUGCUCAUGCAGCCUGCCGUGACUUCCAGGAACUGGUUUUAAAUGUAUGUUGGGAAUUAGCAUCCGUGCUGGCUACAUCACCAAACAUGGGAAAAGAGACCCCUUCGCUGUGGUUUGAUGUUCACGGUGUUCACAUCAAUGUCCCUGUUUCCUGAGUUAGGAUUUAGACAUGGAUUUGUAAUUCUUAAGGCAUGGGAUCCUUUGGAUAUCUUUUCUCACACUCCAGUUCAGAUGGAAAUUUUUGGUACCUUACCAGUGGCAACACAGUAAUAUCAAGAGAGGGUGUUUUUUAUUCUCAGAAUACCUGUCUGGGAGAAAGCAGAUCAAGACUUUGGAGAUAAAAUAUUUUUACUUCUUUGCUGACCAGAUUCAUCUUCAAGUAAUUUUCUAACUUAAUGUUUUUUAAUACUUAGAGUUUAGGUUCUGUAUUUCCAUCUUUCAAUUAUAUUUACAAAAUAAUUUUAAUGUAACUUGAAAAGGUUACAUGUGCUCAAGAUACAAAAAUUAGAAAAUGUGAAAAAUGAAUUUAAAAAUUCACUUACAAAUAUAACCACCAAAGUUAGCUAAUGUUAUCAUUUUGAUAUAUUUAAAAAUGGAUUACAAUGUAGCCAUCUUUUCUAUUCACUUACCAUUUAUUGAAAAUAUGUGUGCAAGGUGCUAAACAUACUUCUUUCUUUUGAAUUUAAAGAUGGAUUGCAUUAAUUUUAUGUGCAUUUAACCAUUAUUUUAACAAAUCUCUGUCAUAAAGCUUUUCUUAUUUCAUUAGGGCAAUUUCUAAUAUGUAGGAGAAUACGUUUUCAGGCUUGAUGAAACCAAUUCUAAAUAAUCUAUAUAAUAAUAACUUUUUCCUUACAUUAUACAUAUAAUAUAUACCUUAUAAUGUAAAGUUGCUGAAAGUUUAUAUUUAUUAUAGUUAUCAUUAAUUAGUGAAUCAUGUAUGUAUUAUAGUAAUAAUUACCAUACUAUCAGUGCAGUAACUUCUAUAAUAGUAUUCACAUUUAUGCUGCAUAUAAUAACUAAAAUGUUUCAUUUAGUGUUUAUGCAACAGUAAUUAUUUUCAUCAUGCACAAAUGACAUAAUAAUUAAUUAGGCAGUGAUGUCAUCUCAUGGCUCAUUUCUGCCACCUAAGUGCUUAGCCAAGUCUGGAAUGUGAUAGUUGCAUAUUUUUGUUCAAUAAGUGAUUGAACAUGAAAUAAUGAAAUCUUAAUUUGAAAAAAUAACUCACACAGGGUUUCUACAUAUGUUUCUCUUUCUGCAUUUAGUAUAAAAUAUAAGGAAGGAACAUUUAUAGAGAUGAAAGUUUAUUUGAGAUAACUCUGUUUAUCCCUAAUUGAAUGCAGAGUGAAGAAUAUAAUUAGUAUUGAAAUUAUCUUCUGCUGUUUUCUCUAAUGAGAAGAAAACAGAAAUGGACACGACAGGAACCAUCAUCUGGAUGCCAAAUGCCGGCAAAGGCAGCCAACAGCUUUUUCUGAGCAGUAGCAGCUCUUCGUGGUUCUGAGGGGUUGCAGAAGUCACUUAAAUUCUCUGCAAUUAGUGAUCUUAUAAUGUCAAAUCCAUAUUUAGAAGAGGAUGCUAUUUCUAAUAAGUUUAAUCUUGGUUUUGGGAAAUCAUUGGACAAAAAUUACAAAUUGACAUAUGGUCUUUCUAAGAAACACAAGUUGGAGCUUUUUCGGCCUUUAUAAAAGUAACAUUGAAAAAACUAUAAAUAAGAAAAAUUAAAUUACAUAAUCACACCUAACAUAUUAUUUCAAAUCCCAACUUCUUUCCUAAUAUGUUUAUAUGAAGAGGACAAACAUGUCAUUUUAUAUUUCUAAAUGAAAUAUUUAAAAAAUUUUAUUUUAUUGUGGUAAUAACCACUUACGAUGACAUUUAACAUCUCAGUAAUAUAGUAUUGUUGACCAAAGGUACAAGAUAUAGCUGUUCAAAAAGGUCACAUUACAUUUUUUUUUCUCCUAGAUGAGAGUGAUGUUGGAAGCAUAAUACAAAAUCAGUGUAUUUGAUUGGAAAAUAUGAUAAAAUAAAUCCUUGUUAAUAAACUUAAUACUUCUAUAAUCAGAGGCAAUUUGAGUGCAAACAGACACAGUUCGGCUAAGGACAUUGUGUUUCUUUCCCUCCGCCUCUAGGGAUGGUAGGGAAAGUGGACUGUGUCUGGCACUGAAGAGAGAGCCUUCUUGAAUCACAGUGUGACACAGAAGUGAUGCUAUUCACCCCCCAAAAGUAACAAGUUACAUAAAGAAACCAGUGUCAGGUCUGGGUUCUCAAAACAAGGUUUUGCUCCCAAGAGUGAGCUGCAGCAUUAUCUGUAAAGAUUCCUAUUCCUACCUCUCUUUAUUUUUCCUCUUUCUUACAGAUAUGCCAAGUUCUUAUUUUCUUUGGUGCUUGCAAAGGAUUAGUUAGCAUAAUGUGAGGUGUUGAGUAAUAGCUCUACUGCUUCUCUUUCUGUUUAUUGAGGAACUUCUGUCACUUGUUUGAUUAAGUAUUGUACCUGCUGGUUUUUGAAGCACCUGAACAAAACCCCCAAAUUUAAGAUGAUCCAUAGUGAUAAUUUUAUAUCCAGUGAGGACAACUACAUCAGCCAGAGGGACUAUGGUGAUGCUUCAUACAUAGACCUCUACAACUCCUGAGAGUCUAGAAACUUCUGAAGGAUCAAUCUCAACUGAUACUUGAAAUUUGGGCUUCAGUCCAAAAGAGAAUGGUGCAAAUCCUUGUGAAGUAUAGUGCCCAUUACUUUGUUGCAUCUUCUUGGUUUUAUACUGGAUGUUUGGAAUAACGUAGGGGAGGGGGAUAAAAUGAUAAAGGAAGGAAAGAAAGUUGGCAAUUUGCACCAUUGUUUUCUCUUAAUAAUUGCUCUUUCCGAAGAGUGCAUUAGCAGAAAACAUUUCUGAUCUUUAUUAACUUGGCAGGGUGUUAAUCCUCAGGUCAUAGGAAUUUUUGUACAACCUAAACAUUUUGCUAAAACAGUGCAGUGUUUAAAGGGAAAAAAUCAAUACUGUACAAUACUGCACGUGUAUGGAUAUUAAAUGCUGUAUGGUAUCAUUGAAAAAUUCUGUUGCAUUUGGAGAUUUGGAUGCUGAUUUACAUAUGGACAAGGGAUACUGGCAUAGCCAAGAUGAGGAGGAAUUCUAGAUGCAUCUGAAGAGUUCAUCUAUUGCUAUGGAAACAGAUAGAUCCUAGCAACAGCAGCUUGGUACAGAGCUGACAUGCAGCAGCCCUUAAGCCUAAAACAAGAGGAAAAUGAGCCGUGAAGAAAUCUUAUAGUAUUUAUAUUUUUUUAAAGUUUGAAGUGUACAGUAGAACAUUCAUACAUAAAUAUGUCAAAAGAAUAAGCCUAUAGAAAUUGAACCUUAUUUUCUCACCAUCAUAGGACCCAACAUAUUACUCAGUAUAUUAUAAUAAUGACUGUAUUUUUUGAUUGCAAAAUAAAAUGCCACAUAUCAGAUAGUCAAUACUAGACUAUAUUUUUGCUGAAUCCAGAGAUAGUUAUUCAAUGAUGCUUUUAAUAUACAAGCUUUGUCCUUAGCAAUUCUUAGAACCUUAUCAGUAUAAAAUUCUCUAAAUACUUCUCAGUAAAUGAAAGAGAAAUUCAUAUGACUUUAGGAGUUUAAUCAAAGCUUAAAAAAUGUUGUGGUUAUAUCUUUUUAUUAAUAGAAAUAGAAUAGUUUUCUUGUGCAUUAAAUUUUCUAGCUAAGUGCUUCAAAUAUUCUUCUUACAUGUUAAAACAUUUAUUUAUGCAAAAUGAAAAUGAAAACCAAAUGUUUGUAAUAAUUUCACAAUAUUUUGUAUGGUGUGCUUGUGUUUGUGUGUUUGUGUGUGUGUGUUUGUGUGUGUGUGUGUAUCUGUCUUUCAAUUUUAGCAAAUAGUUACCAGGGAACAGGGAGUAUUUUUUUUGUAACUUUCAAUCAUGACAUAAAAGAUAUGAAAUUAACAUUAAUUAAAGGCUUUUGAAAGCCACACUAUCGUAUUUAUUGGACCACAGAAAGUUACAUCUGGAGUAGAUCAAAUACUUGCUCUAAUAAAAAUUAACACCUUGACAGGGGGAAUGGUUUGAAUUUUAUUUUAUUUUUUGAAGAAAUAUAUUUGCUUCCUGCUUGGGCAUGGAACUUCACAUUUAUGAUUUUUUUUUAACAGUAGAAUCUCGUCAAAUGUAAUUAUAAAUAAAUAAAAAAAAACAACCUCACUGGAAUGAGUCACUUGUAAAAGAGACUAUCAAAAAGUGUAGGAGGAAGAUACUCCAAACAUGAUGAACUGCAAGAAGAGAGAAGCUUUGAGAACUUUUCAUUAAGCUAGGUUUGUAGUGAUUGUUUUUUUUAACUUGGUGCUAAGGGAUAGAGAUCUCAGGGCCUCUUGCAUGCUAAGCAUUUGCUCUACCACUGAGUCACAUACCCAGCCCUAUGUUUAUAAAACAUUUUAUUUUGAAGGCAAAAGUAAAUAUUUGGCAGUGCAAGCCAUUUUAGGUGUCUGAUCAUUAGUCACGGAUGUAAAUGUCUCUAUUUGUAAUUGUGCUGCUUAGUCAAACAAUACUUUCUGCUCUUUGUACUGUCAAUAACAGGGAACCAGAAAAGAUACCAGUUGUUUUUCUCUGUACAGAAACUCCUUACCAUUUAAUAGAUUACCAAUGGAAAGUGGAGCUUAUUAUGACUAUUCCACAUAAGCUUCCAAAUAAAAAUUUGUAUUAAAUAUGCCAUUAAACUAACUUCAAAAAUCUAGAUCACUCAUGAACUAUGAAUGAUACUGACGCCCAACAAGUUUGUGGAGGGACAGGUUUCAUAUCUGUAGGUUUGUUAGCCUGUGUUGUGAUUUUGGUGAGCCACGGCACGUCAGUUGGCACUACUGAUGAAAGCCCCAGAUCCCUGUCUUCUCACAGUCAAUGAAUUGAAGCAAAUAGGAGGCCUGAUGACAAAUGGCAGGAAUGAGUAUUGGCUUGGGCUUUAGCAUCCCUCUGUUUCUAUUAGCUUAUGAAAUCAUCAACAUCCGUUUUGAUAUAAAUGAUAUGCUUUCUAUCUGAAUGUAACGUUAAUAUACAUCCUGUGGACUUCCCCUUUCUCUUUUCCUGGACCCUUCAAGAUUCGGGAUCCUAUCUGUACUCUCAAAAAUUUGAGAACUGUGGCUGAGAACAUGUGAAUGUCUGUUUACCAUCACAUAGAGAACUGUGUGUAUGACUCAAAGAACCAAGCUCAGUGAUGACUGAUUUUCAUAUCACUUGGACAGUGGUGUCUAAACUGCUCCAUUCUUGAUAGAUUGUUUUUGUUUUAGCUCUCAUGAGGAGAGUCUCAGAACCCAGAAAAAUUAUCCUGUUUUAAUUUAGUUACAUCUCUAUCUAUACUGGUUAAAACAAAAAUUUGAAAGUAGUCCUGGAAUUUUAUUUCCCAACUCUUAUUUACAAUCACUAAGUCCUAUCAAUAUAUUUUUAAAACAAUUCCCCUAUAGUGCUACUAUGCGAGGCUUCUAACUCCUAUGUCUACUGCUGUCUGUUCUCACUUCAAUCAAUCUUUCCCACAAUUUCUUCCUGAACUUUCUCAACUCCAUUUCAAUGGUUUUGGUCUCCUACUCAAAACUUUUUAAUGGCCCCCUAAUCCCCUCACAAUAAAGUAAACUUCUGUUGUAGGAUACAGGAUCCUCAAGACCUGACCUUUGCCCAACACUCCAGCCUUAUGUUUUCUCUGCUCUUUAAAAUUCCAAGCAACAGCCUGUUUUCUGAACUGUGCUUGCUUUAGCCCUUUACCCCUCACUAAGAAACUUCCUUAAUCUCUAAAACAGGUUCCAUUUGUCCUUCAAGACCACCAAACAUGUUACUCUAAGUUUUUUAAAAAGGAGAAUUGCAAACACAUAUAAACUUCAGGUAUAAUGAACCCCAUGUAACCACUAACAUAUACAACUACUUUCCUAUGGCUAAUAUUUUCUAGUUUCUCCUUUGUUAUUUUGUAGCAAUCCUAUUAAUCAUAUUAUUUCUUCUUAUUAUAGCUCUUAAAGAUAUUUUGAAAAUCAAAUUCAAUAACAUUGCCUAAAAAUAAUUAACAGUAAUUCCUUAAUACCCCAUCUAUUUGACAUGUGUUAUCACUGUAUUUUUAAUUUACUGUUUUUUAAAUGUCUUGCCAUUUGCUACUGGAAUCUGAAUCAGAAAAGGGCCACAAAUUGCAAUUGGUUUAUGCAUCCAUUAUCUAUAAAUUUUCUUUCUAACACUUUCCCCCUGGCAACUUAUUUAUGGAAGAAAUUAGAUUAUUUAUACAGGGGAGAUUCCAACUAUCUAGAUUUUGCUGAUUGUUCUUUAAUGAUGUUCUUCUGUCUUCUCUUUUGUCUGUCUUGAUAAUUGGAUCUAGAAACUUAAUUACAUAUAGGUUCAAUUUUUUUUUUUUUUUUUUUUUAAGUAAGACUACUUCGGUGGGGCUAUGGUGUCCUUCCAUCAUGAAUCAGGCACUGUGUGGCUACUACAUCUAUUUUCAUGGUGCAAGGAGCUGUUUACAAUUUGAUUCAUUAAUUCAUUAUGAGCUGGGAAAUUGUGGGAUCCCCUCCAUCAUUUAAUAAUUAGAUUACUUCAAAAAGUAAAAAACUCCCUUCAUUUUUUUAUUUGGCUUUCGAUGGUAGAACUUAUUUGCCACUUUUUAUUUAUUUACCAUCUUUCAAAACAGUAGUUGACCAUCACUUAUAAAAAGUGUACUUGGAAUCAUAUGAAAAUGACACACUUUAUGUUUCUGUCAUUUUAGUUAUUUUUCUCAUCAGUAUUCAAAUUUUCUCAUUUUUGGUCAAUAGGAAUCUCUUAGGUUGUCUCCUGAGCUUUCUUUGUUGAGCUUUAUGAGUCUUUUUCUUCUUAAAUAUCUGAUAUAACAAAAUGUUUCAGGCUCAAUUUGUUUAUUUCCUACCUAGAACUGAAUCAGCCAUUUCUCAAACUAGCUAUUCUGUUUCUUUGAAUAAAAGAUAAGAAAUAUGAUGUGUCAUAAUUAUAUUUUUAAUUCAAAUUCAGGACCAUGGAGAUUUUGAUGAGUCUCUUCUACCUUACAUCUGUCUUACUCCUGCACUGAGAAUCCUGGUUCUCAAAGGUGUUGGUUGUGACAGAAUACCACAGAGGUAUCUAUUUAAUUUACCUCUUAUCACACAUAGAAUGAUAUCAGAAUUAUAACAUAAACAUUGCUACCAACUAUAUGAUUUGCAAGAUAAUUCAAUUUAUUUCCCUACCUCUCCUUGUCCUUUUGUCCUGUUUAUCUUGUUAGUCAUGGUAAACCUUUAAAGCCUCAUAGUAGUUUCUCUCUGUGUGGACAUAUCAUAAUUAACAUACCCUGUGGGGUUCAUUUGUGUCAAUUCAUUCAGGUUUCUUAAGUGGGUUGGUUGUGGAUUAGUGACCAGAGCACAUGCUCAGCAUGAGAAAAGCCGUCUUGUGAUCCCCAGAAACACACACACACACACACACAAUUUCUUAAAAUUAAAAAUAUACACAAUUGAUUUUUUUAUUACAUCAAAUAUUUUCAUAAUUUAAAAAUCAAAAUGAAGGUGUCUAGUGUCCUCAUUCCUAAUACUUCCUUUAUUUAUGGAUAUCAAUUUUUUAAAUAUUAUUUUUUUGUUAAUAUGAAAUGUACACACAAAAAAAACACACUAAAUUACAUUUUUUAAAGAGAUACAGUGCACCAUACUAUACAUUCUUUUUGCCUUGCUUUUUUUUAGUAAAAACUUUCGCUAAAAUCAGUUCCUACUAGGAUAUAUACAUAUUCCUCAUUCAUUUAUUACUGCCUUAUAGUAACACAUUGUGGCUGUGUGAUAUAAUUUAACUAACUCCCUACUGAUGUACAUUUAAGUUGCUCUAACCAAUAAUUCCUGCAAUGAAAAGCUUUACUUAUGUUUUUAAAAUUGUCAUGUCAGUAUAUAUGUGAGGUAUAUUUGUAAACCUGGGAUUACUGGUCAAAAGAUAAAUGCUAUGAAAUUUUGCUGGACAUUUUCAAAUUUUCCAUUGCAAUGUCUCUAUGCUAGUUUCUCUGUAGAGAUACAUUAAAGUGCCUCUUUUUUUCAGUUUCAUUAAUUGUUUUCUGAUUUUGUGACAAGCUAAUAAAUGAAAAACUCUUGGUGAAGUUUUUUUUUUUUUCUCUUCUCGUGAACAAAGUUGAAUACUUAUUCACAUGAUUAAACCACUUGCAUUUAUUAUUUCUACAAAUUGAUCUAAUCUCUAUAGGCCAUUUUUAUAUAGGGCCAUCAAAUCUCUUCCAUUUUUAUCAACAUUAAAUAAUAGUAGGGUUACCAAUCUGUUACUAUUUUAAAUGAUCAAUAUUUAAGUCAUCAAUCUAUUUCGAACUUAUCUAAAUUCCUUAUUACCUUCCUUAUAGUAUUUUAGGCCAUUGGAGAUUUUUUGUUUAAGCCUUAUAGUUUUUCUGUACUACUUUGCUUUUUUCUUUUUGCCUCCAGAAUUUGAAUCCUAGGUGGCAAGGUAUUUCCACUAAAGUUUACGGUACUUCAGCCAAGUUGUUCUAGCACUUGGUUCAGGGGGUUGUGUGUUUCACUCUGAUCCAUUUGACACUUGCCUUGUUGAAUCCUGUGAGUAACGGGUCCAGCUUCACUGCCUAUCUAGGUAGCUCUCCAGCCAUUCAAGGGCCGCUGAUUAAAAGGAAAAACAGAAACAAUGGUACAAAUUUGAGAUUGUCUUUCAUCAUACAUCAUUUGUAUGUGCAUUUCAGAGUAUUUAUCAUUUUCUAUGGUUUUGUUUAAGCCAUGCACAAACCCCACAGUGUUUCCAGUACAGCAGCUUUAUGGAUCAAAUUAGCUUUAUAUUAACAGGGCUGUUCCCUCCUUCCUCUCCAUCUUCAGAGUUCUCUUUGGUUUCACUGCUUACUGGUGGUGGACUGCAACCUGAGCAUUCAGAGGAUGCUUCACCUUCCAUCUUGAGAUUUCUUUCUUGUUCUUUUUAACAUGCUUAUUAAUAACAUUUAUUUUAUUAUUUAAAUAACAUUGAACAUACUUCUUUUCAAAGAUAAUAAGUCAGAAUAAAGUCUUAAAAUCCAUCUAAAGUCUAACUCAUGACAUUCCAAUAUUAAUAUAUAGUAUUUUGGGUGCUAGCAAAUCAUUCUGUUUCCCCCUGUGGUAGCUGACUGGCAGACUCCAGUUCAACUUAGCAAGUUAAGAGUGGAAUUAUUCACCUGGAACUCUACAUUUUUUAAAAAACUGUUCAAGGUGCUUCUCCAAGCAUUCCUCUCCUACUUAUACUUAGAACAUCAUGCUGAAGAUACUAUCCCUUUUCUGGUCGCAAAGAGAUCAUCCUUCACUCUUCACUCUACGUUGAACAUCAACAUUUUAGUUCUAAUUCUUUUUUUUUUUUUUUGGUACUGGUAUUAAACACAGCAGUGCUCUAACACUGAGCUACAUUCCCAGCCUUUUUUAUUUUAAGACAGGUCUCACUAAGUUGCUGAGGCUGGCCUUCAACUUGUAAUCCUCAUGUCUCGAUUCCUGAGUUGCUGGAAUUGCAGGCAUGUACUUUAGCUCUAUUUCUACCAUGGUCUUUUUUUUUAAAAUACAAUUCCAAAGAUAAUUUAUAAAUCAAAACUUCUUAAAGUUUCUGAUUUAAUCCACCACCAAAAGUGUAGGACACAAACUUGCAAAUGUCUUAUUUCCUAGAAACUGCAUCUGGAAUAGAGAACUAUGUCUUUAUCUCAUUAUGUUAAGAAAACACAGCAACUUCUUCCCAUUCCUAACACAGCUUCAUAAUGAUUUGGUAUGUUGUUGACUUAGAAUUUAUGCUGUAAUUUAAUAUAAAACUAAACUAUUGCAUUAGUCCUGUUAUAACUGUGACCUUAGAGGUAAAUCUACAGACCACAUGGAAGUAACUGCCAUGCUAACAAACACUGGCAGAACUCAUUCUAGAGACAGAAGCUGGACAAUUGAUUUUCCUCUUGACAAAUAAUAUUUCUGGGAAAUCAAUGAAAAUAAGGAAAGUAUAAAAAUUGUUUCAAAUUAGAAACAAUUUAGUUCUUUAAAAAUGAUUUUAUUUUAGCCCUUCAUUUUAUAUUAACAUAGAUCUGGCUUUGCUUUUUAUAAUUACAGAAAAAUUAAACCCUAAAACUAAGACUGAUUGGCUAACUUUUUAACAGUUAACAAUAAUAUAAAAAGAUAAACUUCUUUGUGAUAUAGGUUGAAGGAUAAAACAAUACUGCUGGUACCAAAACAUCUCCCUUUACUACUUAAAAAGAGAAUCAAACUUUCUAGAAUACACAGUUACAUAAAGGAUCCUGAAUGAUUUAAUUAAAACGUAUUUUAAUGGCAAAAUAGAAAGAUUUAUUAGAUUAAUUAGUAACAUCUUCUCUUGGAAAUCAAACCAAUAUUAUAUAAAUUAGAUGAUAUAAAAAAGGGCUACAACAUGGUGUAUUUUACUAACUCUUGACAUACGUCCCGUAGUGCUUUCCAGACAUGAGGCAAGAUGAGGUAUUUAGAAACUUGGGAAACCAGAUAGAUCCUUAAAUGAAACAACAAAAUGUCCAUCAGUACUAUAUCAAGGUCAUGGAGUUAGUCUCUUUUGAACUCUGUGAUGAAGAGAUUGAUAUGAUAGUUUUCUUAUACUGUUUUAUUAUAUAAUAACAUAUGUGUGUAUCUAUCUAUAUACGCAUCACAUGGAUGUAUGUAUACAUAGUCAUUGGUGUUCCUGUCUGAUCUUCUAUAUGAACCCCUUAUUGCUGGUUCUAUCUGUCAAGGACUUUUGUCCUUAUGCAAAUAAGAAAGUGUUCAGAAAUUUUGCAAGUGAAUACAGAAUAAAUUUGGCCUGCUGUUUUGUGCCUAAUUUGUGCCCACACAGAAUAGCCUGUGUUUGGAGGUGUACUACAAACAUAUGCCACAUUUCAGAGUUUAAGGAAUUCCUGUAUGACAGCAUUUCUCUCCAUAGAAGUAAUUCAAAAUGGAGAACAAUAUUAUUGCUGUCUUGCCUUUUAUAUUCUUGAAAUGGUAAAUUGGCUUUUUCAUGUCAUGUUUUUCUAUAUAGGAAAAACAACUGUGGUUGGCCUUCAAAGUAGAAGCAUAACAUAUUUUACCUCAAUGAAUUGAGAGUCCCUCAGUCAAUCUGCUGAGGUCUUGAUCAAGAGCAAAUCUUUAAUGACAUGCCAUGUAUUCUACCCUGUACUGAACGAAGGGAUGUGAAAAAUAUCUUUUUUUCUUCUUCUUCUUUUUUUUUUUCCUUGAGUGGCUUGGACCUAAUUAGGGAGAUGGAUUAAUCAUAAAAAGAAAAUAAUAUUGAAACCACCCAAAUUUUUAAAUAAAUAUUUAAUUUUCACAUUUUUACUAUGAGAUAUAAAAUUGAAGAACAACAUUUUUGUUCAACUACACAGCAAAUGUUACUCAAUCAUUUAAAAUAGAUAAAAAUAGUUACAUUUUUCAAAUUCUCCCAGGCUAUCUUGUAUUCAUUUUAUUUAAACACACAGUGAUUUUUUCAGGGUCAGGAUUUGAUUUGGGUUUGCAUAUUGCAGUAAUUUCCUAUUUAAGCAAGAAGAUCAGAGAUUAAUAUCUUACUUCUUUGUAGUUGUAAUUUUUAUUCUCUUCUUCUAUUAAGAAAACCAUGGGAGAGAAUAACUGUAACAAAAAGAACAAAUAAUGAUAUUUAUAGGUCUAUGAAAAUGCCUCGGUUUAACAAAAAUAUUCUGAUUAAAUGGAUAACAUUUUAUUAAAAUAUUAGAUAUUGUUUACAAACAAUACAAUUUGAUUUAUGCUUAAUCUAAGUAUAGUAAAAUUAAAUGUCUAUCUUUUAGACUUUUAGACCUGGUUUAUUCAAACAAGUUUUGGUCCAGGAAGGGAGAGGGAGGAAGAUGCAAACAUAUAAAGAAAGUAUAGAGGAAAGCAGAACAUGGCAGAUGUCAGACAACAUUAAAAUGCAGGUGAGUCUGAAGCUCACAAAAAAUUAAGGAAAAACUUGAGGCAAUCAUUUAGCUAAGUACUUACUGAAGCACUGCAAAAUGAGUAUGCCUAAAACAUUCCGAUAACAGGAUUUGUUUUGGGGGAAAAAUGUUUCAUGUCUGUAACUAGUAUUGUGUAUACAGCUAGCCUCCAGAACAUUAGAUGGCUGUAACUUUCCUAUUUUGGAAGGUGGAGGACAAGGUUAAAAAAAAAAAAAAAGAUAGGCGCGGGCUACUCAAGAUCAGCAAGUGUGCCAGCAAGUUCAUCGCCAGAUUCUUCAGCAUGUUCAGAGAUGCAAAAAGCCCAGACCACCUUAGAGCCUCCAAAGGCUGGUGAACGACUCGGGAAAUUUUCUGGUUUGCAGUUCCACCUGGUGACCAGAGAUGGCGCUGAGUGUACAGGGAACCUGGGGCUAACUGGAAUCAGAAAUUGGAAAGAAACAAGACUCAAGUCUGGGAGCACCAAAUCCUCCAUUAACCCCAGCAGCAUCCCAUUCAGGAUAGGAAGGAAAGAAAAGCAGAAGAACAAAUCAAAGAGACCUGCAUUAGGCGAGCCACAUUAGGAAUAAAAAUUCCCACAUCAGGAAUGCAGACCAAAGCACUCAGCCAGGACUGGCACAGCAGGAAAAUAAAUUUAACUUAUUUUCCUAAGUUAUAUAAUCUUUUGAGGAAGUUUGUAUUUGAGAGAACAACCACAGGAGUUUUCAUGUUAAAGUCUAAAUGCAUGUGAUUAUACUCUUUCUGGGUUUAACAAGGAGAAAUCCAGAAUGAAUGUGGUACAGUCAAAGUAUACUACCUAUAGAGUCUAACUUUAUGCAUUUUAAAUUUCCUUUAGGUAAGCAGUUGUUUUGUAAAUAAGCAUGACCAUCUUAAGUGAGGAAGACAAACUGUUUCACUUGUAGCAGUGUGAAACGAUUGUGUGUGUGUAUGUGUCCUUUUCACUUACGUUUGUAAAAACAACAUGAAAGAGGAAAUAUUACUUAAAGUUACUCCAAUAAGCAUGGAAAUAUUCUAAAUAUAUUUUUUAAAAAGAAUCUUUUGAAAUAAAUAUUUUUCUAAAAAAAUAAAUAAAUGUAUGGCAAUUGAUUUUUUCUUUGCUUUUGUGUUACUUAAACCUCUGUUAAAAAAAACAAAACCCAUAAAGACAAAAGUUACCAAAUCAUACAAAAGGAUUCACAUGGUAAAUAAGUAUAUCCUUCUGUGCAUUGCUUGGAUACCUCCUUCUGCCUUCUCUAUUUGCAUUUAUAACUAGGGCACACAGAAUCUGGUUAAAGAGGUCCUAAGUAUGCUAUUCUUGCUACUCAAACUGUGGUUUGUGAACAAGCGGCAUCAGCAUCACCUGGGAACUUGUUAGAAGUGCAGAAUCUCAGGCCUUAACACAGAUUUCAAUGAGUCAGGAUCUGUAUUUUAAUAAGAUUCCCAAGUAACAUGUGUGCAUAGAAUAGUUUGAAAAAUUCUUCUUUAGGUUCCAAAGAGAGCCACUAAUUGAGAUCAAAAUAGCAAGAGACUAUAUGAAUGGUCUAACUAUAAUCGAUGGCCCUAUUCCUAGUCUAUCUAUAGAAAAUUCCAAGAGUCAAAAUCAAUCUUCAUUAGAAAUGUUGAAAAGAGGUGUUCACAGUGAGAAGUUUUCUUCUUCCCAAGGAGAUGAGAGAUGUUCCAAAGGAGUCAGAGAUGGACUCUCCCAGAGAGCCCUUGCAUCUAAAUCCAAGGCUAUGUGUCCAUGGAUUUGUAGGAUCUGUGUGACCACAUUGUUGUUUCCUUCAAGUGUACAGGAGCAUGAGAGUUAUUGGGAAGGGAAUGUAGUACAUCAUGGAAGAAGAUGGAGUAAGUAGUCUCCCAAACCAUCUCAUUCUCUAUGACCUUGAAAGGGGUACAGAAGAUGUAUGAAUCUCCUGUGGGCCCAUAAGAUGAGGAAGAAGAAACCCAACAAGGUCUUGUCUAUCCCAGAACAUUGUGGGCAUGAUCUACUGUCAUGGCUGCUAUGUCUGAAUGGAGAAACAUUGGUAGAAGAGGCUAGGGUGAAUAUAGGGGAGCUCUGCACUAAGAAAAACACCCACACGGUUACCUGGUAACCCCACCACAUGGCUUUGAUCAGCAGCAAGGAGAAUGAGCAGAGUAGAGCAUGACCAGGGUCUAGUGCCCAUCAUCACUCUCAGAGUAGAAGAAUAAUGAUGAACACAGAGCUCUACUUUUUAAAUAAAUCAUCCUUUCCUGCUUACUACCUGAGAAGCAAGAUGAGGAAAAUGCAGUUUCAUUCCUCUCCACCUCUGCCAUAUGCACAUGUCUUGAUGAGGGAAAUUAUAGUACUAUGGCUUUAAUUUAGCUUUAUAACUUUACUAAAAGGGAUAUAAUAUUUAAUUAUUUUUCAGACAAAAAAAAGGUGUAACCGACUCCAUUCACAUCUUUUUUUUGCAACCACACAUCCUCCCAGGACAGUCCUCACCCAAAGGCUGACAAGAAUUCGAGCAUAAAUACCUUUCCUUUCCUUUCUCUCUUCAGGAAAAGGUGAAUCUGAGGCACAGUGCACACCAUUUCCCAGAAAUUUCCAGUGGGGAAACUGGAAAUGAUUUAAAAACAAAUCUACUACGACAGAAUCUGACCAACCAGUUGAUUAUUGCAGCACAAUUGAGGACCAGGCAGUGUUCUUCAACCUCAGAACUUCUGACUUUGGACCAGACAGCUUUGUGUUGUGGGAGCCUAGUCUGUGCACGGGUGGAUGCACAGGUGUGGUGACAACCCUACAUACCUCCACAUAUUGCCAGGUAAACUGCUGGACAAGCAGCACACAGUGGGAAAGCACUGAAUGGAGGUAAUAUUUACAAGUAGUCGACUCUCCUGAUUUUUGUACACUCAGUAUCAUCAAAGCAGUGUCAUGGUGCCCAGAAAAGGAAACUGAGUCAGUGGUCCACAGAUGCUGACAGCUCCCUAUAUCUCUUAAAUGCCAUUUCUGCAAAACCCUACCCUCUGCUCUCAAAAAUCAUCAGGUUGGAAGUGCUUUACAUUACAAAAUUGCAUGAGAUUAAAUAUUUAAGUGCCUGUUGAUGCCAUUUAUAAAUCAUACAUUGCAAUCUUCUUUCUUUUUUGCCUUCCCUUUGUAUUUUUUUUUCCCACUUUUUUCUCACUUCCCACAUUUUCAUCUGUUGCACAUGGUGGUUUCUGCAAGUGAAGAAUGAGGCAGUCAUGUCUGGACUAUUUCUGUUGUAAAUUUAAGUUUAAUCAUCAGGUCAACCAAUCAAUCACAUUGUGAAGUGUGGCAAUGUCCUUCCUUAUUACACUGUGGAGUCUUUCCACCAUUUAUCUAAACACAGCAUAUGUUCAAAUUCAUGUCCAUCCUGCCACAAUUUCUGUUUAUAUCUUACCCAUUCCACUUUUUCUACAGUUUGUUUUAGUAAAUAUGGGCAAUUUUACAAAGAAAGAACAUUGUGCUUGUCACCAGAAAUAUAAAAAGAUGUGACAGUUGUGAAGAGCAAUAAUAAUAAUGCAUUUGGUAUUUUCCAGCAAUAACUACAAGUAACAGGUUUAAGAUAUGAAAGUUUCAAACAAGAAUAAGUGCAGCCAGAUCUCUCCUGCAGGGUAAAGGCAGAGAUGGAGCAUCUGUUACUGAACUUGACAUUUCCUUUGAUGCACUACUCAAUAACCACAGUACUUUACCAGUAUAGUUAUAAACUGUUUUUUUUUUAAAAAGUGCAAAGUCACUUCUUACCCACUUCUUUCAGUCCAUUUUCUGUUGCUAUAAGUGUAUACCACAGACUGGAUGACUCAGAAAGAAUGGAGGUUUAUUUAGCCUACAGUUCUGGUGCAUGGGAAUCCCUGUAUCAAGGUGCCAGCCUCUGGUGAGGGCAGUUUUGCUUUCAUGAUAUGGCAGAGAGUUUCACAUGUUAAGACAGAGAAAGCCCACAAGCUUGGGUCUCUCUUUCUCUCUUAUAAAUCCAUUAAUGUCAUUAUGUGGCUCCACCCUCAUGACCUCAUCUAAUCCCAGUUACUCUCUAAGGUCCCACUCCUGAUACCACCAGCAUGUGACCUCAGGGAUUCUGUUUCCAACACAUGGUUUAAAGGAGACACACUCAAAUCAUAGCACCACCAAGAUGGCUCUCAGAAAGGCAGGAGGCAAGGAGGGUGGGCAAGGACCUGAAGGACUGGGAGCACUCACCUCUGCUGGUGGGGAUUUAAAAUAUAACAACUACUUUGGAAAACAGCUAGAUAAUUUCUUAAAAAGUUAAACAGUUUACAAAAACAUUCCUACACAUCUAGCUAAGAUAAAUAAAAAAACAGGUGCCCUAAAGGUUUGUUCAGAAUAGCACCAUUGUACAUAAUUGGAAGAAGUGACAAAAAUCCAAAAGUCCAUCAGCUCCUGAAUGAAUGACAAAAUAUGAUGUAUCCACACAAUGGAAUACAACUCAGCAAUAAAAAAGGAUUAAGCCACUAAUUUGUGCUACAUGAAUGAAUCUCAAAAACUAUGCCAACAAGUCCAGUGAAAAUGACUACAUAUUAUAAGAUACCAUUUAUAUGCAGUGUUCAGAAAAGUUAAAUUUACAGAGUUAAGAAGCAGAUUAGGGAUUUCCUAGGGUUGGGUGUUAGAACAGGGAUUAAUUAAAAAUCGGCACAGAGGAUCUUUCUAGAACAACAGAAGUGAUUUAAAAUUGGAUAUGAUAAUAAUUUCAUGGCUCUGUGAAAUAUUUUUGUAAAAUAUUUACAAAACUGAAUUAAAUGUAAAAUUUUGCAAUCUGCAAAAUAUCCAUAUGUAUUGGUAAAGUUAUAAUUGCCCAUAUUUACUCAAUAAAAAUAUUGAGUUAUACAAUUUAAAUGCCUGAAUUUUAUGAUAUAUAGGUUAUCCCUCAACAAAACUAUCUAACAAUAAAUGGGAAAGCAGGUGGUAGAAAUACCUGGUUUGGAACCUUUCUUAGGUUACUUUGGUCCAUACAUUUACUUGUGUGUACAUCCUAUUGAUUUCACGUAGCUCUGCUCUAGCCUCACCAAUGGUUUCUACUUUCCCUGAGGGUCUUACCAAAAUCCUGAAUGAGGUAAAUCUAUUCUUAUUAUACUUAGUCAUUGUGAAGUAGUGAAGGAUUGACCUGAACCAAAGAGAGGUCCAGCAUUUGCCCUAGACUACCAGAACUGAUCUCUAAAUCUUGAUUUCAUGCCUGAGGGGGUCAUCCUCUUUGCCUGGAAGCUUGGCCUCUGUGAUUUGGGCUGGGGGCUUCCUGUGGAGGGGACUGGAGACUGACUUUGUGAGCCUGACUCUGGGAGAACCUGUGGACUGAAGGGUAAGCACAUGGACCUCAUGUAGUUGCGCCCCAGUAGACCUAGCCAGCCCAGGCUCAGGAGAGCUUCCUGAUCAGCACUACUUCAGGUAUUCUAUCCCACACUGAUGCUGGAAGAGUAAUGUGUCCAUUUCUCCAUGCAAGAGGACAGCGGAAGCUCUGCGUUUCCCUUCCUGGACUCUGCCCUCUGCACCUCAUCCUUUAGAUGACCCUAUUUCAUAUCCUUUCCCUGUAAUAAACCCCGACUGUGAGUGUAACAACUUUUAGUGAGUUCUGUGAGUCAUUCCAGAGAAUUAUGGAAACAGAAGGUGGUUUCAGCUAAACAACUGGUGUGAGAAAUGAAGGUGAUUUUGUGAGGAGACUAUGCCCUCCAAAGGCCCAGUUGGGUAAACUAUUCCCCAAACAACCAUUUCUCAUUCAUGUUGUCAGCAUUCUGGAUUCCAUUUUUCAAUUGUUCAGGAUAGUAACACCUUCAGGAUAGAAUCUUAUUUGGUGUCUUUCUGGCAGCUGAUAACUGAUAAAUGUUGAUUAGAGUCAUGACAAAUAUUUUUAGGAAAAGAUUUUAAUUCUUUUGUGGAAGUACCAAGGCAGUGUUUUGCGUCAGACCAGACCCCUAAGUGUAGUUUUAUAUGGACAGAAGAUAACCAUGGCAAUAUUCAUUUGAACUGAAUUAAAUGAAGAAGCUUUAACUCAGAUGGCAGGCUCAUGUGAGGGAAUCCUUAACAAGCACUUGUUCUAUUUUUUUUUUUUUUUGUUGGUGGAGGUGCUGGGGAUUGAAUCCAGGGCCUUGUGCAUGUGACGUAAGCACUCUACCAACUGAGCUAUGUCCCCAGCCCAACAAGUACUUAUUCUUGAUGAAUGGCCCUCCAGUAUUCAGUCAAUCAUUAUAUAGACAUAACUAAGUGAUUUACAUUUAUGCACAUUUAUAUCACAUAUACUUCACCUUAGAUGUUACAAAGGGCUUGCAUGUAAGUUAUCUCAUAGGAUGAUUACAAAAAUCUCACGAGUAGGGCAUAGAAUGCUUAAGAUAUUUAUUAUCUUUCUUAUAUUUUCAUAGUCACGGAGGGAUCUCAUUAUAUAAUAAGUGAAGGUCCCUCAUCUAAAUUCCCUAUCGUGAAAACCUUGUGACUUUCCCAUUGUCAGACGUUUAGACCAAAAGUGGCAUCGAACCAAAGCUGAGCCAGAAAUCUGUGUGAUAAAUCGACAUGAGAUGAGAAGAAGCCAAAUCAUCUGUCCUGGGAAUAUGAGUUGUCAAUCACAGUCUCUGACCUGGAAGCUGAAGUUGAAGGUUGAAAGGCUACAGGAGGUGAGGCAGGGUCUUGGGGUUCCUGUGAAGUCAAAAUCCUAGGAAAGAUGGAGUUAUGAGUCAAGUAGAAAGUGGGAGGAAAAAAGACAGAAUGCCCCAGAAGACUUUUGAUAGAGAGGUAGAAGUAAUCAGAAACACACAGGUAGUGGAUCCAGUUCAAUGGUGGGCAGGAAAGUGUGUAUCUCUGUGUCUGAGAGACCUCAAGACUGCCCUGACUAUCCACCAAAUCCCUCUGGUCCUUCUGAUGUGCGGAUGUUAGGCUAAACUUAACUGUCUCUCAUAGGUAGCCUUUAUGUCACUGUCAUUACCAUUAAUAGCAAGACUAGCUUUAUUUUUUAAAUUAUAGAUCUUUCAUAUUUAAACAUAAACAGAUGAAUUAUUAAUAACUUUCCUCAGAUAUGGCUUACUGAUUCACUUCUUCUCAGAAAAACAUAAUAAGCAAAAAUGAGAUAUUUUCCACAAAUAUGCACCUAAUAUAUUACUCAGCCUUGUUUUGAAAUUCCUGCCACAUAAAUAUUUUAACAUAGCUAUCAGAUAAAGUACCUGUUAUUUGGAUGCAUGUUACUUUGAUUUUGAAAGUUUGCUUUACUUAUGCUAUCCCUGAACACAGCAGAAUUGAAAUCUUAAAAACUGAUAAAUGCAGACUCCCUGAACCUCCAAAUUAGGCUGCUGGGAACCUAUUGUGGAAAGCAGAUGCAACACCAUGAGUGUGCAGCAUUGAUGUAUUCACAAACUUGGCGUCCUGGUUGGCUGGGUGGACGCUCGUCCUAACCUCACACUUUAGAGGACGUCUUAGUGAGAUAGGCUCAUCAUUUGGAUGCCUUGCAAAAUGUGGCCAAUUUUCAUUUCUGAAGUGGUUUUCCUAAAGUUUAUAGCUGUGCAUCUUUUUUUUCCUUAAUGCCAAGCAAUAUCCUCAUGGUUUUUUUUUUUUACAUUUAAAUUUGAAGCUGCCUUAGUUAUUUUCUUUUGAUUUUUCUCUUUUUUGGGGGCGGGUAGGGGGCAGGUAGUGGGCAUAUUGGCAAUUUAACUUUGUCUUGCAACAUUGUUCUCAUUAUUAAAUAGAGUCUGUACUUGUCUGACUACAAA